GCCGGAGUAGCUCAGUCGGUUAGAGCAGCGGAAUCAUAAUCAGCGUGUCGGGGGUUCGAGUCCCUCCUCCGGCA
rnacentral:tRNA from 1 species